rnacentral:pre_miRNA from 13 species
UGCAGGGCUCUGUCUGAUAUGUUUGAUAUAUUAGGUUGUUAUUCAGUCCCAACUAUAUAUCAAACAUAUUCCUACAGUGUCCCGCU